rnacentral:rRNA from 1 species
UACGUAGGGGGCAAGCGUUGUCCGGAAUUAUUGGGCGUAAAGAGCGUGUAGGCGGUCCGGUAAGUCAGCUGUGAAAGUCAAGGGCUCAACCCUUGAAAGCCGGUUGAUACUGUCGGGCUAGAGUCCGGAAGAGGCGAGUGGAAUUCCCGGUGUAGCGGUGAAAUGCGCAGAUAUCGGGAGGAACACCAAUGGCGAAGGCAGCUCGCUGGGACGGUACUGACGCUGAGAAGCGAAAGCAUGGGGAGCGAACAGG